rnacentral:rRNA from 1 species
GACGAACGCUGGCGGCGUGCUUAACACAUGCAAGUCGAACGGAAAGGCCCUGCUUUUGUGGGGUGCUCGAGUGGCGAACGGGUGAGUAACACGUGAGUAACCUGCCCUUGACUUUGGGAUAACUUCAGGAAACUGGGGCUAAUACCGGAUAGGAGCUCCUGCUGCAUGGUGGGGGUUGGAAAGUUUCGGCGGUUGGGGAUGGACUCGCGGCUUAUCAGCUUGUUGGUGGGGUAGUGGCUUACCAAGGCUUUGACGGGUAGCCGGCCUGAGAGGGUGACCGGCCACAUUGGGACUGAGAUACGGCCCAGACUCCUACGGGAGGCAGCAGUGGGGAAUAUUGCACAAUGGGCGGAAGCCUGAUGCAGCAACGCCGCGUGCGGGAUGACGGCCUUCGGGUUGUAAACCGCUUUCGCCUGUGACGAGGCGUGAGUGACGGUAAUGGGUAAAGAAGCACCGGCUAACUGCGUG